UUGUGGAGAAUGUAUUUGUUCUGAGUGAUAUGCCUCUCAGUACCAUAUGAACUGUACCUUAUAAGGAACAUCUCUAUCUGAGAAAAAUACACUUAGUGAUAUGUCUUUUAUGACCAUGUGUACCAAUCAAUAGAACUUUGUGGAGAACAUCCCUAUGAGUGGUAGGUAGAUGAACCCCUUUCGUAUUUGCCUCAGUAGAUAUUUCAGUAUUAUGAUGAUUUUACAAUAAAUAAUGUUUUUAAUUUAUGACAUACAAAAAUAAUUUAGCGAUCCCUCAGGUGUAUGAAUGACAAAGAAUGCACUCAGUCUGCUGAGACCUCAAAAUUGAAUUUUCGAUGAUUGUUUGAGCGAUUGAUGCAGUUUGUCCUUCAACCACCCACCUAGUUACCUCCCUUUACAUCUCCUAACCCUUGUUCAGUAUGCCCAAAAAGCCAUUUUGACAUGUAUUCCCUUUUUGACUUAUCUUAUUGUUGUGUGAUGUAUAUGUACAUGCUGUCAGUGUCAUGUACUGUUAUAGACAUGAUUGAAGGUUACCUCCUGGUUGGAGGUUGAUGAUGUAUUUUACAGAAAUCAAAGCGACCGUUUUCACUUAUUCAUUCAAUAUACCUAUUAUCAGUCCACAAAUUAUAUAAAACCUGUAUUCUUAUAUUUUUGGACAUGACUAA